GGGAGGGGGAUGGCACAGGGCCAUCUGAGAGGAGGGGGGCCCCAGGAAGGAGCAGAUGGUCUGCAACAAGGAGCAGGGGCAGGACCAGUGACUUCACUGAAAAGACAGGGUCUGACGGGCUUGGUGCCGCAUCGGCUGUCAUUCCUGCAGUCAAGGCAGGCCCGCACCCGUGGGAGGCGAUGCAGUUCUCUUCAGAGAAGGGGGGCUGGGGAGGGAUGGAGUCACAUGGGAAAAUAAUGCCAGUUCCAGCCGUUCAAACACUCAGGUACCCCAACCGCUCAGCCUUCAGUUUGAUUCCAGUUUGCUGCUUUCUGUAUUCAUAGGGAUUCAACCACCAAAUGUUAUCCUUUCUGUAGUGCAGACCUUUGAUUUUAAUUUGGAGGAAAAUCGGCAUAACCCUACGAGAAAGCAGGCUGCAUCAAGAAAACGCUCACGUUCCGCCCCAGAAACACCCUUGACCUUGGAGCGCUCUUUAGUCUGCUGCCGCGAGCAGUGCACUAAGGAGCCGUGGCAUAGAAGUGGCUGUGGGCCCACAGCCGAGAGGCCCGCUGCUCUGAAAGCUGAAUGCGGGUCAGCCGCAAAUUCCUGGUGUGCCCCUGGGCAGGGCAGGGCUGGGCCUCCCUGGGCCUGGGUUCUCUGGUCUGUAAAACUCUGGAGGUUGGAAGGCGAGUUUCAAGAGAGUUCUGCCCCAAACGCUUUGUCUGGGUGCCCUCUCGUGGUGGACAAAGGCCAGGUGGUCCCUGGUGUCGUGGAGCGGCAGCAGUGGCGAGGGGUGGGUGGGCGGAGGCUGCCAUUAACUCUUUGUUACCAACACAAGUGAAGACCCACGUCUGCGCCAAGGACCAGGAGGGGAGGCCCCCGUGCUCGACACCAGCAACGAGACCAGCGUGAAGGUGAUGCUCGGGAGAGAGACGGUUUGAACUGGAUGUGCAGGGAACUCACCAUGGUCGUGGGCAGAGGAAACCAGGUGACCGUCAGGGAAGGUGAGGCCUCGCUUGGAGGACAGCCUGGGAGCAAAGCACGCAGAGGAGCAGGCCUGACGCCAACAGCUCAAGCUGCCGUCGCGAAGGCCGUCUUAAGUUACGAGCACAUCUGUACCCGCAGAUGAUACCAUGGCCUGAACUGCCUUUGAAAGGCAGAUCGGUGGCUGCUCCACAGGCUUUCAGUGUGAUGGAGGGGCCCAGGGCCCGUCAGGUGUGCACUCGGUCCCAGCGUGCCUCUCAGCAGCAGUGCGAGCUCAGCAAGUCACCUUCCCUUUCGGGCCUCCGCCGCGGCUGGGAAACGUGGACUUUCAGUGAAGCUAAACAGGGUGGCUGAGGUGUUUGCGGACAGUGGGUCUCAACCAGGGCUGCCAGUGAGAAGCUGCCCCAGAUGGUGAUUCCCAGGCCAGUUAUGCUGGAAUGUCUCAGGGUGGUGCCCAGGAAUUGGGGUUUUUUAAAGUUACACACACAGCCCUGUAUCUUAUGAUGCUCUAAUCCGUCCCUCCGAACCGAACCAUGGGACCCGGUUGUUAGGAAUGUCACGUGGCUGCUAGGAGUGUCCAGCAAAGGUCUAGAGCCUUGGGCUUGAAACCUGUGAUGAGAGGCCACACGUGACCUGCCUCUGUCAACAAGUGACACAUUUUGAUCAUAAAGAGAGGAGAUGCCACCCCCUCCCCACCUGUGUCUUUGUUCUCCUCACACCCCCAUCACUCUCUUUCUAUCAGAAACCACCUUAAAGGCCACAUGAGGGGGCUUUGCUCUGGAGGGUUCGAAUGGCGUAGGGAGAGAACACAGGCCUGACAGCAAGCGUGGAGACGACGCUCGGCUUUCCCACUCACCUUGCUGGACCCCCGUCUCGCGUGUGACAGAACGGGGGCCUUCCCCGCAGCGUCGCUCUGCGGAUCUACCGAGAUGACAACCUGCAGGGGGAUCCACCAGGUCCCGCCAGGGCCGGGCCUCGAUGGUCAGUCCGCGUUAAAUGAGGAAGGGGAAGGUCUGUGCACAGGAGGGGCUGAUACGUUCACGUGUAAAGAGCUCGACUCUCCCCUUUAGACGUGCCCAGUUUCUCCAGGUGGAAUUCGGGCAAAGAAUAGUCAGCCCUGCGGGUAAAGAAGUACAGCCUUUAAACAUAUUCUCCGUCCCCAUUCACUAGAGAAACAGAAACGGAAACAAGGACUGACAAAGCCAGUUGGCAAAAAGGGUGCCAGUCCCCUGCUGGGGGAGGGAACGUGCCUCCCAGAUGUGCCCCGGCCCAGCUGUGUGCCCUGUCCAGUGCCCCUUCUGUGAGCAGAGGUACAAGUGGGGGGAGGCCGUAAAAGGGGGGUUGUCUCGCCACUGUUUGCAAAGGAGGAAAAACAGGAAUAGCCUGAGCGGCCGCCAGCAGCAGAAAGCUUAAAUUAGGGUGUGACCCCAGGAAGCGCGCCAACGCCGUUCACCCCUUCAAAGCCGGGGCUGGCCUGAUACGGACCGACCUGGAAAGACGUUGGAUUUAUUGCUCAGUGCACAACGCUGCACGCGCCCUCUCAUCGCCCUCAGCCGGCUUUCCAGCUUCUGCCUCAGGCCAGCCUGGAAGCUGGUGGUCGUGUGGUGUCGAAGGUCGUGGGUGGGACCAGAGUCACUCGCCCAGAGGUUGGGGGCGGGGGGGGGGGGCUCUGCGUACGCGAGGCUUCGAAGCUUUGACGACUCCCCGAAGAAGCUUUUGGAACUGAGGGCCGGGCGCCCGGGAGGAGGAUGAGCCGCCUGAAACAGGACGGGAGGCCGGGCUGUCCAGGGAGGUGGGAGUGAGGCGGAGCCUGAACCUCCCCAUGGGGCUCGGGUCAUGUUUAAAGGCUUUAACCGAGGAGCCUGGAGGGGCUCUGGGUGGAACUCGCCGACGCCCAGCCGUGCUCAGCGAGAGGCCCUCCAAGUGCCGGAGGCCCCUUGACCAGUCCUGCUUCUUCCCUUCCUGUGCUUUCAGGAGGAAAGGAAGCAAAGGCUCCGGGCGGGCGCAGCCCUGAAAGGCAGCAGGUGGUCGCAGGUGGAAGGCACACCCCAAGUGCAACCUCGGAGGCCGGCGGGGGGCCUGGGAUGAAAGGGCUCUUGGUUAUUUUCCCAAGGAAGCUGAAGAGUCUGCGAGGGAAGCCGUCUUCUCCUCCCGGCCAGGCCAGCCCGUCAGAAACCCUGCAGGCUGUUGAUUGAUUUCAGAAGCGGGUGGGGAGGUUUUAAACCUGGACUUGGCCCAGCUUUUAAAAAUCACUGAAUGUUCCUUAACCUGUCUUUUGUAUUUCAUGGAUCAGUAAAAUGUUCUGCAAAAUUUGGUA